UGUGAGCCUUCUCACCCCCACUUUGUGACUUCAAGAUCCCUCCGGUCUCUCUUGUUGCAGAGGGCAUCCUCAUGUAUCUGGGGUCACAUAAGCAUAAUGUGGGGAGGUAAGGAGAUUGGCCUGGCCCUGCCCACCAGGCCCCUCCCGACACUCACCUGUGUCUCUCCCUGAUGACUUUCCUGCUCCAGCAGAGGCGGCCGAGGCUUUCUCUACUCAUCUUUGUGUUUUUCCUGAAGAAUAACAUCUACUUCCCUGAUGAAAUAAUAAUCCAGUAGCACCUGUCCUAGCAGGACCUUUGAUCACAGGGACUCAGACAAGACCUGGGCCUGUCCUGUCUCCAGGAACAUGCAUCGCCAGCAGCAGUCCAAUCUGGCAGAAGUGAAAGUGCCAAUCCAGAACUUGAAAGCGAAACUCCCAAGAGGCCAUCUGACUUGCUAGUAUCUUCCAUCACCAAAUAGAUGAAGUUGGAGAUUGCAGUGAAUCAUAUGCCAGAGGGAGGCCGACAUAUGUUUGAGGAAGUAUGUAUCAGAAUGUCUGCCCCAGAAAAUUGCUGGAUUUUCCACCUGAGUAAUAUGUUAGAGCAGUAUAUGUUCAAAUGCCCAAAGGCAGGCAGCAACAUCACAAAUCCAAGUACACCAUCCAUUGACUAAAUCCAGUGAAGCAUUCUCAGCACAAUAAGGAAAAACUCCAAAGAGAGGGGGCUUCCUCUAAAAUCCUCCAAAUAUUUCACCUUGUGCCUGGACAUACCUUGUUAAACUCUGGGUUGUCGGAAGUCAUGACAUAUUUUUUCUGCUUUUCAAAUGUCAUUUGUUUAUAUUAAGAACAAAGAUCAGGGGCCUCCCUGGUGGUACAAGGAUUGAAGUCUCAGCACUAUGAAGCUAUCAGCAGCCACUGCAGCAUGAGUUUGAUCGCUGCCCAGGGAGCUAAUCCACAUGACACAGCAGACCUCUCCUGUCUCGCCUGGUACUCCCCUAGCAGUGUAUUUCAGUUGAUCUGCCUGUUCUGCUCCCCACUGUCUCUGGUGAAUGCUCUCACCUCCCCCACCCGCCACCCCUCUGGCCUGUACCCCAGCCCUUACAUGCAUAAAUCUUUAGGGAAAAAAAAAGAACAAAGAUCAAUGAUAUAUUGCCCACUUUGUUCAAAAACCUUUUGCCAUCUUUCAGUGAGCUUCAAAAUUCCUCGUUCAUAGAAGGAUCCAUCUUUACUAGUGAAAAACUGAACAAGGUGCUGAUUUACAGCCUCAUCUGAAUUGAAUAUUAUACCACGCAAGUUUUGAAGAGAGUGAAACAAGUGGAAGUGUGAAGGCGCAAGUUUAGGCGGGUAUGGUGGAUGCCGCAACACAUCCCAUCCAAGCUCCAGUAAUUUCUGAUGGGUGAUCAAACUUGUGUGUGGUCUCACAUUGUGAUGGAACACUACUCCUUUACCAUUAACAAGCUCUGGAAGUUUCUGGAUGAUGGAUUCAUUCAAGCCAUCCAAUUGCCGACACUACACAUUCGAAUUGAUUGUUUAUUUCCUUGGCAGGAACUCAAAAAAACAUGACACAUUUAAAAUCCCACCACACUGAGAGCAUAGUCUUCCUCUGACGAAUGACUGCUUUUGAUGUCAUUUGAGGUGAACUAUCAAGUUGGGACCAAGACUGUGCACCUCAUUAUACACAAUCCACUUCUCAUCACCAGUUUUCAGUUGCUUCAAAAAGGAUUGUUUUCUUCACGUUUAAUGAGCUACUGCAGCUGUUUAUAUGUGCCAUCAAAUGAACUUCUUUAAGUUCGUGAGGAACCCAAAAAUCAAGCCUGCAUCUAUAUCCCAGCUUUUCCAGGUGGUCGUGAACACUUGAAUGAUGGAUGUUCAAUGUUUCUGCAAUCUCUCAAUUCGAUCGAUGCCUUUAUUUUGUCGUCAUCAACCUCUCUGACCAAGGAGCGUUGUUGAGAUCAAAAUCACCAGCAUGGAAUCUCAUGAACCAUCGCUAGCACUGACGCUGUUGUAGAGCACUGUACCAGUAAACUUUUUUUUUAAAGAUUUAUUUAUUUAUUUAUACAAGAACCGGGGUACAGGUCAGAUGUGCAGGAGGGUGAGAGGAUUCACCAGAGACAGCGGGGAACAGAACAGGCAGACUGACAAAAAAUACACUGUUGAGGGGAGCAGCGGGCGUGACAGGAGAGGUCUGCCACGCCAUGUGGGACACUUGCCUGCCGGCUGGGAUGGAACCAGCGCUAUAGAGGCUGCGGACAGCUUUAUAGGCUGUACUCAACCGCCUGCACCACCAGGGGAGGCCCUGUACCCAUAAAUUUAUGCAACUUUUCACAAGCUUGAUGUGUGUUCUUCCCGUUAUGGAAGUAAAACAGUAAAACAUGGUGAAAAUGCAGAGUUUGGUCUUCCAUCAACUUGUUGUAAAAUCUCCAAAACUAACCAAAUCGCUCAAUUUAUUUUAGAAUGAAGCUAGAACUGCCAACUGUCAAGUGACUAGCAAUAACGUAGAUGUAAAUGACCCUAGUACUUCCGAACAUGCCAUCUGUUGCAAAAAUGCGUCAUGACUUUUCCAACAACCCAAUAAUUGCAGAGGCUCUUUGAUCCAGAUUAGUUUGGUUCUGCCUUUGCCUUCAAACUUUUUUCCAGCAGAUAUGCAGACACUAUCAAAUUGCAAUUUUGUCAUGGCUUCUUGGAUGUUGCAGUUAGUCUGAAUAAAAUAAAAAGCAAAUAUAUGAAGUGACAGUAUAAUUCAACUUUCACAUUAUAAUAAUACCUAGCAUUAACCUAGCUAUUCCUUUACAGAAAAUAAUCCUUAUGACACUCUAGUAUUACAUACUGUUUACAGCUGAAAAAUACUGAGGUUUAGAAAAAAUUACGUAGUUUCUUUAAAAAUCUCACAAAUAGUAAAUGGUAGGAGUUCUGGAUUUGAAUAUCUAGCUUUAGCUUCAUAUCUCUUAUACUUCUCAUUAUACCAUUGGAACAGCCCAUAUAUCAAUAUAUAGCUGUUGUGCUCUGCAGGAUUUUUAUGUCUAAGCUAGUUUCUGCUUCUAUUCCACUUCCACCUUCCCAGUCACCCUGCUUCUUCCAUAAGACACAGCCCUUGCCUGUCUGCUGGCCCCAACCCCAUGCCCACAUUACAUAAUGGAAGAGCAGAGGGGCCCUGCUGGCCCCCUUUUAACAUCACCCUGGAGCCUAGGCCCAUCCAGCCGCCCCUGUCACAGCCAUACCAAGCCCUAGCUACUGCUGAGCGAAUCUCACGUUUGGGGUCUCUGAAUUUCUCAUCUAUAAUUUUACUUAUUAGUCUAAUUCAGGCAUUUCUUCUUUUCACACUGAGCUUCUGUUUCCUCACUGACAUCUUUACAUCCGAUAUCCAUUUGGAUAGCCAUUACUAAAUAAAACAUACAAAAUUGUACUUUUCACCAUCUCACUCCCUAUCCAAAAAUCACCAGAAGACCCCUAUUACCAAUUCACAUA